AAAUUGAAGAGUUUGAUCAUGGCUCAGAUUGAACGCUGGCGGCAGGCCUAACACAUGCAAGUCGAGCGGAAACGAGUUAUCUGAACCUUCGGGGAACGAUAACGACGUCGAGCGGCGGACGGGUGAGUAAUGC
rnacentral:rRNA from 1 species